GAUGAACGCUAGCGGCAGGCUUAAUACAUGCAAGUCGUGGGGCAGCAGGGGUGUAGCAAUACAUCUGCUGGCGACCGGCAAACGGGUGCGUAACACGUACGCAACCUUCCCGUUACUGUGGCAUAGCCCAGGGAAACUUGGAUUAAUACCACAUAUUAUAUAGAGAGGGCAUCCUUUUUAUAUCAAAGCUUCGGCGGUAACGGAUGGGCGUGCGGUUGAUUAGGUAGUUGGCGGGGUAACGGCCCACCAAGCCUACGAUCAAUAGCUGAUGUGAGAGCAUGAUCAGCCACACGGGCACUGAGACACGGGCCCGACUCCUACGGGAGGCAGCAGUAAGGAAUAUUGGGCAAUGGACGAAAGUCUGACCCAGCCAUGCCGCGUGAAGGAUUAAGAUCCUCUGGAUUGUAAACUUCUUUUCUCUGGGGCGAAAACCAGCUAUUCUUAGCUAUUUGACAGUACCAGAGGAAUAAGCACCGGCUAACUCCGUGCCAGCAGCCGCAGUAAGAC
rnacentral:rRNA from 1 species